rnacentral:tRNA from 1 species
GAAGGUACAGCUCAGUGGUAGAGUGCAUGCUUAGCGUGCACAAGGUCCUGGGUUCAAUCCCCAGUACCUCCA